GAAACAUUCUGUGAACAGAGAUAACUACGUUAUAAAACAGAAAGUUUUAUAGGAGAGGGUAAAUAAAAUGCUGCCAGGUUUCAGAGGAGGGAGGAGUAAUUUCCUGCUAGGUAUCAAAGAAGGCUCUCUGGUGGAUGUGGCAUUAGCUCUACAAAUCUGUAAUAUAGCAUCUUGAGAAUCCAGGUUCUGCAGCACCCCCAGCACCACCUUUUCCCUCCUCCAUAAUGUGGUCCUUUCUUCUCCUCCUCUUUCUCCUACCCAGUAUCACCCAUCUUUUUUGUCAAACUGAGAUCUUGUAUUUUGGGGGGAGCUCCUCUGAGAAAAACACAAGAUUUUCUACAUAGAGGUAGGUUCAUGUGGUUCGAAAUAUUAUUAGAAAUCACACCUAUCCAUCUGGAAGUGUGUGGUUAUAGACACAGAAGAAUCUCAGAGAACAGUAGGCUGGUAGUGGGCUGGUACCUUGGAGGACCAACCAUGGAUAAAGGCCUAAAAGAUCCUCUUGGCAGCAAGAAGAAAAAGAAAUCAAAGAGCCAGGCUUGCUGAUAUGGACAUGCCAUCAGUGAUAGCUGGUUCUUGCAAGAGUUGGGGAUGAAGCCUGGGGAAGUUGCCCUUAACCCCAGGGGUGAGAUUGUGGAUGUCUGCUGGGAUUACCAUAGUACACUGCAUAUCACCUUCCUUGUAUGUGUUCCUGGCACUUCUCUGUGGCAUGGUUCCUCUCAUCCACCUUUUCCUUCUGAGAUACCUCAUCCUGCAGCUGGAAGGAGUUUCUUAGGACAACCUGAAGACACACUUAGGACCCCAGAGGGACAUCAGGACAAAGGGAAGGACAGGCCUCAGGCAAGUGGUUCAGAGAUGUUCCACAAGGGGACCCAGGUUCCCAGGGAAGAGAAGGGGGGAAGACACAACUCCCAGAAGGCGAUGGAUAGGGAAAUGCAGGGCCACGAGAAAAUUAACAGAAGAGAGGCCACAUUCCCUCUUCCCAGGCUGGCCCAGUGUGAUUUCCUGACUCACCUGCCCUCUGGCUUCCCUACCAAUUGGUCUAGUUGGAGGCAGUGUUGGAAGAUCAGAGGGUGAGAAGAUGGGAGAAUGGAAAGCACAUCACUCUGUCCCUGGACGUCUCCAGCACUCAUAGUGUCUCCUUCUUGCUCUGGUUCCAGGGGGUGCUCUUCCCUGGGCAACUCCUUCUGGGGGCACCCCUCGGUCUAGAAGGCCUUCUCCACUUUCUGUCACAUGUGUUACUAAUUGCCAUAUUAAACAUCAUCCUUCUGAGAUGUGUAGCGUGAGUUCUGCUUUUUUGACUAGAUCUUGAAUCUC
rnacentral:lncRNA from 1 species